rnacentral:rRNA from 1 species
UAAUCCAGGUCGGUUUCUAUCUAUGAAGCCCCUUCUUCAGUACGAAAGGACAAAGAAGAGAGGACCAAUACUACAAGCACGUCCCAAACCACUGACUGAACAAAACUAAAGUCAAACAGCUACUACCACGACCAGAGAUCGUGGUCUU